AUUGAACGCUGGCGGCAUGCCUUACACAUGCAAGUCGAACGGCAGCACGGGAGCAAUCCUGGUGGCGAGUGGCGAACGGGUGAGUAAUGUAUCGGAACGUACCUUUCAGUGGGGGAUAACGUAGCGAAAGUUACGCUAAUACCGCAUAUUCUGUGAGCAGGAAAGCAGGGGAUCGCAAGACCUUGCGCUGAUUGAGCGGCCGAUAUCAGAUUAGCUAGUUGGGUGAGGUAAAGGACGUCACCAAGGCGACGAUCUGUAGCGGGUCUGAGAGGAUGAUCCGCCACACUGGAACUGAGACACGGUCCAGACUCCUACGGGAGGCAGCAGUGGGGAAUUUUGGACAAUGGGCGCAAGCCUGAUCCAGCCAUGCCGCGUGAGUGAAGAAGGCCUCGG
rnacentral:rRNA from 1 species